GAUGAACGCUGGCGGCGUGCCUAAUACAUGCAAGUCGAGCGAACAGACGAGGAGCUUGCUCCUCUGACGUUAGCGGCGGACGGGUGAGUAACACGUGGAUAACCUACCUAUAAGACUGGGAUAACUUCGGGAAACCGGAGCUAAUACCGGAUAAUAUAUUGAACCGCAUGGUUCAAUAGUGAAAGACGGUUUUGCUGUCACUUAUAGAUGGAUCCGCGCCGCAUUAGCUAGUUGGUAAGGUAACGGCUUACCAAGGCAACGAUGCGUAGCCGACCUGAGAGGGUGAUCGGCCACACGGGAACUGAGACACGGUCCAGACUCCUACGGGAGGCAGCAGUAGGGAAUCUUCCGCAAUGGGCGAAAGCCUGACGGAGCAACGCCGCGUGAGUGAUGAAGGUCUUCGGAUCGUAAAACUCUGUUAUUAGGGAAGAACAAAUGUGUAAGUAACUAUGCACGUCUUGACGGUACAUAAUCAGAAAGCCACGGCUAACUACGUG
rnacentral:rRNA from 1 species